GGAUAAAGCAGAAGACCGUGGAAGGCAUUCUGUCAUCCAGAAGGGCUCAGGACCCCUCAGAAAUCAGGAGGCCAUUGCUGAACACAGCCCGCUCCUUUUACAGAUGGGAAGACUAAGGCCGAAGCGAGGGCAGACAAGGGUGUAGCAAUGCUGCGGAAGCCCAAGAGAAGGAGGAUUUUGGGAGAAAGACAUGGGCCAGUGGCGGGUCCGUGAGGUGGGAAAUCAGCCAUGAACACGGAAGGGGGUAUUGAAGAAGCGUGUUUUCCCACACGGAAGCAGAUGUCUGUGACGGAAAACCCCGAAGGGAAGAACACGUCUUUUGGAGUCAGACCGAGGUUCAGAUCCUGGCUCCAUUAUUUUCUA